rnacentral:lncRNA from 1 species
GAUAGAGUCCAGACCAUAUGUUGUCCCCUGUACCAACUAGAACCGACAUGGAACAUCUGUUGGUCCGUGGUGGUUUAACAGAAGGAUGCACCACCUUGUGAACCAUCCCAUCUUCCUGUAUGACAAUGAAACAAAGCAGAGUUCAACAAACUAAGUAAAGCCUAUUGCAGCUCCCAACAAUAGUUAUGUAAGACUUACCAAGCGGGGCUCGGAUUGUCGAGUGACAUAUAUGUGAAUCUCAAGGUUUAGUUUCUUAGAGAAGAAAGGGCAAAUGGAAGGUAUGUCAAUUGCUGAGAGAAGAGAGAGCUCGUCUGAGUUUUUAAUGGCCCAUACAAGUAAAACAUUACUAGGUAAACAAGCUUUCCCAUCUCUUUUACGAUGUAGGAUAUCGCUUAAGAUGGCGAAAAAAGGCGUAAUCCCGAUUCCUCCUGCUACUAAGACCAGGUUCUCGUACCUAUACUCGGAAACAAACCGUUCUUAAGUCAUGCUAAAGCUUAUAGCAUUGAAACCAUUUAAGUAGACAAAAAACGCAUUACGCUAAGUGGUAUGGAGAUUCAUGGCCAUAAGGUCCUUCCACACAAGUUGUGAUUUUGGGAUAUGAAUCAGGAGAAAUAAGCUGGUCUUGAUUCUCUGCCUCAUAUAGAUUUGACAACUGGUCUCUAAGCUUUGCGGUCCAUCCACCAAGAACCUUUAUGAGAACCGCAACAUGAUGGUUCCCAUCUAAAGGACUUGAUGAAACACUGAAAGGAUGCCAUUGUAGCCAUGAUAGUUCCCUCACUUGAAGAAAGAUAAAGCUAAGCGCAUUGUAUCGCAUAUCUGAUUUUCACGGUAUUGAAGAGCAAAGAAAGUCAGUAAAUGUUUUAGAUUAGAGGUAGAGAACAGAGAUUAAACAGAGUUGUUACUUGGUGGUUUUGAAAGGACUAGUUCCAGAGUUCCACAAGGCAAACUCUUUGCAGAGAUUACAUCUACAGUCCUUCUGGAUUGGCAGAACCUCAAGAAGCGGUCUAGAAUGAAAAGAAAUAUUCCUCCAGCAACUAUACUGAAUAAGUAGUCACCAACAUGAAGUGCCAAGAAGACGACAAAGACGAUGUAUAGUUGAUGUGUGUAGAAGAAGAGCUCAAAGUAAUGCUUUCUCACGGUGUGAAGCGACGUGACCCACAUGAGUAAACCAGCCACUAGACUGAUAACUCCCGGUAACACAGCAAUUCCAAUAGCAUUCCAUGAAAAUAUCUGAGAGGAGUAAGUAGUUGAUGAUGAAACUUUACGAUAGAAAACAAUAAGAUACAGAAAUGAAAUUGAGUAUAGACCUAUCUUGAACCGAUAAUCAACACUAUACUUAUACCAGAUAAACUAGGCUAUGUCAAGAUUGAAUGAUGUUGCAGGAAUCUUACAAGCUCUAAAAGUUGACCUUGAAUGGUCCAUCCAACAACAUAACAGAGGCCAUGUAAAGAGAAGAAAGCCAUAGUGAUAUGACCAAGCCAAACAUGGUAUCGUGUAGCAUGUUCGAAAGGGAUAUCGAUAAGGCGGAGAAGAAUGGAGCCUCUCGAGAUUGGAAGAAACAAAAAAACCAUGCACAACAAUCCAAUCACUCCUAAACGCAGACCAGUUACCUCCAACAGCAGAAUACUGAACACACACACACACACACAAAACUAAUGAAUGGAACGUGUAGAUAAAACAAAGAUGGGAUAAAGAAGGAAAAGAGUUUAAGAACCUUCGAUUCUUGGGAAGGACGUGGAAGCGUUCAAGAAGAUCAAGAUUCCUCAAAGUAUAAGCAUAUAUAGCCCAAAGGAAGAAAACAGAGAAGACCAUAAUUCCAAGAAACUCAGCUGCAGAAACAACCCCAAAUGGUCCAUCCACAAGAACAGGAAAUGUCCAUAGCCUAAACCUCGGGAAUUUUGAUAUCUUGUUUCUUCACAAUCAUCAUAAAAAAACACAUUUAUGCAAGAACAAAAACUGAUGAAAACCAAAAGAAUGCAAUUAGCUAGAUAUUAUUUAUACGUACUUAGUGAAGACCUUGUCUUCUCCGGAGAUAAUUAGAUAGAGAGAAGCUAAGACAGCGAUGACAAGAAUCGGACCACUGAAAAUUAAGAACAUGCUUCCUACAAAUUUAGACAAUAGGUGGAUGAAAUUAGUUACACUUUUUGGGACAUUUUUUUUUCCGGAGAAAACAAAGCAAAUGAUAAUGUAAACCUGUGGUGCCGAGGAAAGUCUUGGAGGCGACUACUGUGAGGAAAUCAUCGCCGAGUUGUUCAGGGUACAAUAUCAUAAGAAAAACAAUCCACGUCACAAAAAUCAUAGACAUUACAACUUUCAAUACCCAUUUCAAAGAUGAAGUCACGACAGAUGAUGUAGAUGAUGAUGAUGAUGAUGAGUCCUUGGACAAAAGAGGGGUUUUAUGAUCAUCCAUCUUUAUUUGAAUUUCUACUUCUCAGUGUUGUGAUGAGAAGUUGGCUCAGAAGCAGCAUCGGCUUUUAAAGAGGCGUUACUAGAGAUAAAUUAAGAAGAUAUUCUUUAAGAGAGUAAAGGAAGAAAAAUUUCUGGACCAGUGGGGUUUCUAUCAUUCUUAUAAAUAAAAUAUUCUUGUAGACAUCAAUCCUAGUACACAAUAAAAAAUUAAGUUCAAAAGAAAAAGAAAAAGAGAGAGGGUCAUUAACACGUGAGAGUAACGUACUUGGGAGAGAGUGUCACGUUAGUUUGAUUUCAACCACAAUUUAGGGUAAGGUGAGAGAGACUGAGAGUACUUACUACUUAGUAUAGAUAAGAUGAUUAUUAUGACGACUAUGAUGUUUCUUGGAUAAACUGCAUUACUUGAAUCUGAACAAAUAAAAUAUCAACGUAACGCGAAAGAAACAUUAUUCGGUUUCCACAUUAUAUUCAAGAUCCAGGGAGAUAAACUUGCAAAGUUUCAUUGUUAGAUUGUUUCUGGUAAAUGACACUAUCUAACAAUGAAUAGAGCCAAGAAACCAACUAUUAAUGUGUUAAGUUUAACAAGAAUAAUCGACUAUCUAUCUCGAACAAACAAGUUAAAUCAAUCCAAAGAAAAACUUAGAUGUAUAGUCUAAAAAUUUCUUAAUUACACUUUCAAGGAACCGAAACAAAAUCCAAUAACAAAUAAAAGCACCACUUACCUAAGAUUGACAUGUCAAUAAAAGGGCACUAAGAAAUUAUAACUAAAUUUCAUGACAGAGUAAAGUCUGAUUUAUCCAACCACUUUAAUGAAGGUGAGAAUAUUGAUUAUUGAGUAUGGAUAAAUCGCUAUUUUUCUUUUGAAUAUAAUUUAAAAUUAUUUUCAAAAAAAAAAAAAAUAUUAAGUAUGGAUAAGAUGAUUAUAUUGACGAUUGUAAUGGUUGUUGGACCAGCUAAAAUUACCCAAUCAGAAGUUUAGAACAAAUAGAAUAUCAACGCUCGAAAGUAACAUUAUAUAGAUUCCACAUUUGGCGAAAAAAAUAAAAUAUAUAAGAUCCAGAGAAAUAAACUUGCAAGGUUUCACAAUUGAUAAGUUGUUCUGGUAAAGACACUAUAUUAAGAUAAAAUUUAUAUAUUAAGUUAUUAACUCAAAGGAACUAAGAAAUAGCUAGGAAAUCAACUGUUCAUGUAUUAAGUUUUCGGAGGAUAAUCAACUAUCAUGAAAUAGCAUCAAUCUCAAUUAGGGAUGUUAAAGUUGGCUAAAAACCCAGUGGGUACCCCAAACCCAUGUUUAAAACUGAGUCCAAAACCUGCUUUUCUAGUUUAAAAUAUAUAGGUUUAAAACGGGCGGGUACCCGAAACGAUGGAGUCUUACACGGGUUUACCCUAUCAUGUUAUGGGUACCCAUCGGGUUUUUUUUUUCUCACUUAACUGUUAUGUAUAAAAGGAAGCGGUUUUGUAUUUUUCACCUCCAAAAAUUCAAAACACGAACCCUAAUCCGAUUGUUAUUGUUUGUUUAUGAGUGAAUGAUUUAGAUUUUGUGGUACCCGAUUUGAUUUCAGAUUUGGAAACAAUAAUUGAAAAUGAAACCAAAUUUGAUGAUUUUGAUUUUGUUUGAUCUUGUUCAUGUUCUGAUAUUUUCUAGGAUUUGGAAGCAUUCUUGAAUAUUGACGACUGAAGCAGUGCUCGUGGUUUAUUUUGAAUUGGCAAUUAAAAGUUGUGUCGAAGGCACUUUUUUGGUUUUAAACUUAUUCUCUUAGAUUUAUCUCAAAUAUACUAAACUUCUCAAUACAAGAUUCACAUAUAUCUCGUCAACAGUUUUGGAUGUUGUGCUACGUAAUUGGAAUUUGCUGGAAAUUGGGUUCAUGCUGAGAACAGAGGAGCUGAUUCUCGAUAAAAAUAAUAAAAACUAAAAAGUUAUCAAUAUUUUUUGGUAGUUAUAUAAAAAUAAUAUUAUCCAAUUUUUAUAAAUUAAAAAACUGAAUUUAGAUGAAUACAUUACAAGAUAUAGUUGUUUCCAUAAUACAUACAGACUGUGAUUACCUAAAAUAUAUGCAUCAAUAUUUUUUCGAAUUUCCAUUAUGUUCUUUGGCCUUGAAAGGAUAGUUAUAGAUCGAAACUGUGGCUGUUGAAGUGGAAAAGAGGAUGAUUCGCUGAUCGCCAGAUGCUAUGUGAUCGUAUCUCUUUGGCUACGGUCGUUUGAAGAGUCGCUGGACCGCAUACUAUUACUCCAACAUCCACACUUCCCCAUUUCCCAUUCAAUGACUCAAAUAUCUCUGCAAUUACAUAAUUCAAAUAUCACAUAAACCAUUAAAAGAUUAAAGUUAACCGAUUCGAGCCAAAAUUCUACACCGAAAACCUGAUUCAAGAACCGAAUCAAAAUCGGAAUUCCUUUGAAAUUUUAUUUAGAAAACCAAAACCGUGUCAAACCAAUCCGAAUGAUUUUCAGUAUCUAUAUUUUAUAAAUAACAUAAAAAAAAACAAGCUAACCGGAUUUGACACCCCUAAUUUUGUACUGUACCUCUAAAGGCCGGUCUGGUGCCAUAACGGAUAGUGGUGUAACUCUGGACAUCUUCUUCUAUGUCCAAGCCCUUGAGCUCUGCUGCAUAUGGAUUAUGGGUUUCUUCUCCGUUCAAAUAUACCUUGUCAUUGCCAUUUGCUUCCACUUUACCGGUUUUGUGACCCCAACGAUGCCAGAAAACAACUACAAGGCCACCAAAAAUCAACACACUUGCAACCAUACAAACAAUAAAUAGAAGUCCUUUGUACCACCACGUCGUUAUGUUGUAUUUGUUUAUGUAAAAGACGUCCAAAAAUGUGAUCAUUGCAAUAAACCCAAUGGUGGAGACAAUUAGAUAGAGUCCAGACCAUAUAUUGUCCCCUGUACCAACUAGAACCGACAUGGAACAUCCGUUGGUCCGUGGUGGUUUGACAGAAGGAUGCACCACCAUCUGAACCAUCCCAUCUUCCUGCAUGACAAUGAAACAAAGCAGAGUUCAACAGACUAAAUAAGGCCUAUUGGAGCUCCCAGAAGACUUAUAUAAGACUUACCAAGCGAGGCUCGGAUUGUCGAGUAACAUAUAUGUGAAUCUCAAGGCUUAGUUUCUUAGAGAAGAAAGGGCAAAUGGAAGGUACGUCGAUUGCUGAGAGUAGAGAGAGCUCGUCUGAGUUUUUAAUGGCCCACACAACUAAAACCUUACUAGGCAAACAAGCUUUCCCAUCUCUUUUACGGUGUAGGAUAUCACUUAAGAUGGCGAAAAAAGGUGUAAUACCGAUUCCUCCUGCUACUAAAACCAGGUUCUCGUACCUGCACUCGCAAAUAAACCUUUCUUGAGUCACUCUAAAGCUUAUUUCAUUGAAACAAUUCAAAUAGGCGAAACACAUUACGCUAAGUGGUAUGGAGAUUCAUGGCCAUAAGGCCCUUCCACACAAGUUGUGAUUUUGGGAUAUGAAUCAGGAGAAAUAAGCUGGUCUUGAUUCUCUGCCUCAUAUAGAUUUGACAACUGGUCUCUAAGCUUUGCGGUCCAUCCACCAAGAACCUUUAUGAGAACCGCAACAUGAUGGUUCCCAUCUAGAGGACUUGAUGAAACACUGAAAGGAUGCCACUGUAACCAAGAUAGUUCCCUCACUUGAAGAAAGAUAAAGCUAAGAGCAUUGUAUCGCAUAUCUGAUUUUUGCGGUAUUGAAGAGGACAAAAAGUCAGUAAAUGAUUUAGAUUAGAGGUAGAGAACAGAGAGUAAACAGAGUUUUUACUUGG